rnacentral:rRNA from 1 species
CCUACGGGAUGCAGCAGUGGGGAAUAUUGGACAAUGGGGGGAACCCUGAUCCAGCGACGCCGCGUGAGUGAAGAAGUAUUUCGGUAUGUAAAGCUCUAUCAGCAGGGAAGAAAAUGACGGUACCUGACUAAGAAGCCCCGGCUAACUACGUGCCAGCAGCCGCGGUAAUACGUAGGGGGCAAGCGUUAUCCGGAUUUACUGGGUGUAAAGGGAGAGUAGACGGUGAAGCAAGUCUGUUGUGAAAGGUCGGGGCCCAACCGCAGGACUGCAUUGGAAACUGUUGACCUGGAGUACAGGAGAGGUAAGAGGAAUUCCUGGUGUAGCGGUGAAAUGCGUAGAGAUUAGGAGGAACGCCAGUGGCGAAGGCGGCUUACUAGACUGUAACGGACGUUGAGGCUCGAAAGCGGGUGGAGCAAACAGGAUUAGAUACCCGAGUAGUC